GUGCCAGCCGCCGCGGUAAUACGGAGGAUGCAAGCGUUAUCCGGAUUCAUUGGGUUUAAAGGGUGCGCAGGCGGAAUGAUAAGUCAGUGGUGAAAUCCUACGGCUCAACUGUAGAACUGCCAUUGAUACUGUCCUUCUUGAGUACACUUGAAGUGGGCGGAAUGUGUCAUGUAGCGGUGAAAUGCUUAGAUAUGACACAGAACACCGAUCGCGAAGGCAGCUCACUAAUGUGUAACUGACGCUCAUGCACGAAAGCGUGGGGAUCAAACAGGAUUAGAAACCCCAGUAGUCC
rnacentral:rRNA from 1 species